rnacentral:lncRNA from 1 species
UGUGAUGGCUGGUUUGUACACGGAGAAUCUUCAUGCACUAUUUUAAAAUGUUUACAGUUGUCCUUCGUGUGCACCCGGGGACUGAAUGGUGGGAGUCCAGGGCUAGGUCUUGCUUUAGCAGCAGAGCCUGGGGGCCUUGGAGCUGGAUCUGUGUGGCUCCAAGGAGGAAAGCCUGAUUUCUGCACUUUUAAAAAUGGGCAGUUUUUAUAAAAUGAACUGCCCUCUUAUCCAGGGGUCGGGAUGGGUCUUACAUGAGCAGGCUUCUCCAGAGCUCAGGGGGGGUCUGCUGGGGAGACCACCGGCACCCCGGGCCUGAAAUUGCUGUGACCCCAACCCGGAAAUCCCAGGCUCACGGCUCAGUCUGGCAUCUUCACCCCGGAAGUACUUAAUGACAUGGGCAGGACAACUUCUUUUUCCAUCUUUUGCUUACAUUUUCAUAAAGUGAUAUCCUGAGAAGGCUUAGAACUUACAGCGGUCAUGCUAUUUCCACGGUUUCCCCCCGUGCCUGUGCAGAGGGAGUGGCUUGUCCCCCUUGACCCCUGUGGGAGGAGGAGCAGGGCCGUGACCUGCUCUGUGCUGUCCAUGCUGAGGCCACUGAGCGCCAGGGAGGUUUCCUCCAUUCUCCUGACUUUCAUUGGCCAAGGCCUCUGUCCUUGGAGAACUGCAGCCAUUUGGACAUUGUGGUUCAAGCUCUGGGUGAUUGUGUGAUGGGGAACAGUGACCAUCAGGCCUGUGGUGGGGUCUCUUCAGGAUGAUCCUUCGAAUUUACAUUUACUACAGGCCCGCAGAUGCCUGUUCUCUGACUUCACCUUACAGCCACCACAGCAGGUAAGGAAGUUCUAGCGACAAGAGAACCCUGGGACAGGGUGGGUUCGGUCCCCACGUGGGGCAGCUGGGGUGUUGGAGAGCUUGCAGCAUGAGUGCCAAGCACCGGGGCCAGGGCAUGGGACUCCUUUAUUUUUCCUUUUCCGAAUCCAUCGACCACCUUGUUAUCUUGUCAUCGAUCCUACCUAGUUCCCCAACCAGUGGAUGGAAGGCUCGCUCAUCUCGCUACUAGUAGUGAAGAUGGCGGUCCUGGUUCCAUUUAUGAGCACUUGCUCCUGGCCAGGGAGUUUCUCAGUGCCUCACACAUGGUAGCUCGCUUGGGCCCUGAAGCUGUUCUCCGAGGCUUCUGUUACUUCCACCUCGUUUGCUGAUGGGGAAGCCUGACCUGUCCUGGAUGCACACUUGCCCAAGGUCACAAGGCUCAUGAUUGACAGAACACUAGGCUUCACCCCUGGGCUGUGCUCUUAAUCACCCCUUUCACGUGCCCUGUGGUUUGCCUCAGGUGUGACCAGCCCAAGGGGUGGCUCUCUGCUUUGGGCACAGCCACCCUGACCCCAUAGCCGCUCUUCCAGUCACCUCCCUCUGCAGCUCCCCUCUGACACAAAGCUGGAUAGCUCUAUCUGCUGUUGGAUCUGGGAAAUAAGCUGCGAUGAUGUUGGUUAGGAGUUUGUAGUAUCAGUGGAAUACAGCUCUACCUGGUAGUACAGAAACUCAAUUUCUAUAAAUACAGACAGAAACAUCCAGGGAACACAUGGCCUACGUCUAAUUUGAGGAUUUACUUGUGCGUGGUUCUUCUUCCUUUGUCGGGGUCUGAAUAAACACCACUGUCCCUCUCCUUCUGGUCUUGUGCAUCCACAGAAUAGACUCCGCAGGUGGCACAGGGUGAUCUCUGUGGCUUAGGGGACCCCUCUCUUAGUCCAGGGGGACAGGAUGCAUCUUCUGGAACCUGAGGGCAGAUAGCCGUGAGAACCUGGAGGCCUGAAAGGAGGCAGGCAUCCAGUUAACCCUGUGCACAUGCAAAUGUCCCCGUAUUUUGCAUUCAUAUCUGCAGCUUGAGUCUUGGGUUUAAUAAUGAAUCACGUAUUUUUUUCCUUUCAAUGUGGGAUUUUAAAAGGUUUGGGAUAUUCUUCUGAAUGUGGGUCGGGUUUGGAUGUUCCUUGUUAUUUAGUUGCUAUUUUAAGAGAUGUGAAGCCUGUGAAAUAAUGAUGGGCACUAGUUUAUGGAAGAGAAGCAAACUUUGAGGCAUUGUAUGCAAAAAGAAGUGAUUUUUUAACUUUUAAGACUGAAGUUCCUACCUUUUUGGAUCUGAUCAACUUUGAAAAGCUUUGAAACAUUAGUCUAAAGCAUGUCUUAGCUACUUCCAAAUUUUCAUAAUCCUCUGCAAACAAUGGUUUCUGUUUUUUUCCAAGGUAAAAUUUCUUGUUACUUUUCUUCUGAUUUUUCUGAUUAUGGUGGAGACCAUUGAAAACCAAUUAUUGAAUUGUAAAGUUUAAAAGAUAUCGAAAAGUAAGAUUUGGAGAGCAUUUGUAAUUUUUCUGUGCUUUUUAUAAUAAAAGUAAUACAUCGUCAUUGCAGAAAAUGUAGCAAGAAAAAUAAAGGAAAUAGAAAUUGACUAUAGUUUUCAUCUACAGAAAAAGCACUUAAUAUUUUAGUGCUACUUCUUUUUUUUCAUGUUUCUACAAAAUAGAGAUGAUGCUCAACAUACUUUUAUCCUUGUUUUUUUACUUGUUUGUAGAUCAUGUGCAUGUUCCCAUUUCAUUAAAUAUAAAAAAAUCUCUAAUCUUGAGAUGUACUGUAAUUUAUUAAUCAAUUCUCUAUUAGAAUUUUGAAAGGCAACAUUUAGAUUCUUCUCAAGUUUUCACUACUACAAAUAAUACACGAAGAAUAUUCCACUCAAUAUUUUCAGGAAUAUUUCAGAUUAUUUUCUUAGAAUAAAUACCUAGAAUUGAAAUGUCUACCUGUGCCCAAAUUCCCCACAAGGAAGCUUGUACCAGCUUUCAGAGCAUUAGCAUGAGAACAAUCAUUUCUGUUCACCUUCUCUUUGUGAACAUAAGGAUUUUUUUUAAUUUAAUUUUUAUUUUAUAUUAAGAUAUAGUUGAUUUACAAUGUUGGGUUAGUUUCAGGUAACAGAGGGAUUUUUAAAAAAAUUUAUAUUUUCACUAAUUGGCCAGUGUAGCAUUGAUAUUUUAAUUAAUAAUAUUAUGUUUUGCUUUGGUUUUUGGCUGCUCCCAUGUCAUAAAGAAGUUCCCAGGCUCAAACCUGUGCGGUAGCAGUGACCUGAGCCACAGCGGUGACAACACUGGAUCCUUAACCACCAUGCCACCAAGGAACUCCUAAUUAAUAAUAUUUUUAAUGUUUAUUGUCCCUUGAUAUUAUUUAAAGAUGGCUUAAGAACCUGUAUGAUUUUGGGGGGGGACUUUCAUGUGAAUUAUGAUCUCAUUUAAACUCGAUGGCCAGUCUAUGCAUUUUACCGACUACACAUAACAAAGAGAGAGAAGGGAGUUGUCGGAGGUCUGCAGCUCUCCUAAGGUUCCAGCACCAGAGCAUGGCAGCCUGUCUUCUGGUCCUGUUCUCCCAGUUGAGAUGGCUCAUGGAUGCUCCCCCAAAGACGUCAAGUAUAUUAUCUACCAGCACUGUCUUUACAUUGUGCAACUUGUAAUAGGGAGAAAAGUUCUAAAUUCUGGAAUGUGUCUUACUCAUUGACAAUGAGUAUUUCUUAGCCCAACACAGAUCAUCUCAAAAUAAAGUGGACUGUCCUAGAAAGAUGAGAUUUGAUCUCCUAGAGGGACUUCAUGAAAUGGAAAGGAAAAGAGAAGGACCACUUCAAAAGUCUAUGUUGGAAGUACCUUCCAGGGUAGCUGCUUCCAGAGCUUGAGGUCAAAACCAUCAACAGCUGAGAACCAGGUGCCUCUGACCCUGGUUUCUGAUGGGAACCUGAAGGGGCCUAGAGCACAGCUGUAAAGAUCAGGAGGAAGGCAUGUCCCCUUCAGACCCAUCAAGAUCAGGAGGGUCUCAGGGGCAUGUAGAGCAGUGAGGGCUUUCACCAACUACUGUUUAGAAGUUGACCCGUAACUUGCUAGUCAUUAUUUUUAUCCCCAAAUUAUUUGCAACUUGAUCCAACUGAUGUAAAAGUUGAUAUGGUGAUUGUGUGUCAGACCCUGUUGUAAACCCUAGUGAUUCAGAGUGAAUGCAAGAGAAAUAUCCUGCUAUCAAGAAGUGUAAUGUAGACGAAACAUAAGUAAAUUCUUUAGUACACUAGAAAGUAUUCACACUAUAAAUGCAGUGG